rnacentral:lncRNA from 1 species
UUCUCAGAGCCCACGGGAGUCACAAUUGCACCUUCCCAGUGCCGAAGACACACUUUUAAAUUCCAUGACAAGGGCAAAUUUGAGAAGAUUGCUCAACAAUUAUGGACAAAGGCUCAAUUGGAGAAGCUGCAAGCAGAGAUUUCACAGGUUGCUGGAAAAACAGGCAUUCAUACUUAAACUGGACUUGCCCUCAUUGCUCCAAAAAAGGAGCUAAAGAAAGGUGAUAUCCCUGCGAUUGAGUGGUGGGACUCAUACAUCAUACCCAAUGGCUUUGACCUUACAGAGGAAAAUCCCAAGAGAGAAGAUUAUUUUGGAAUCACAAAUCUUGUUGAACAUCCAGCCCCAACUCAGCUUAACCCUCCAGCUGACAAUGAUACACCAGUUACCCUUGGAGUAUAUCUUACAAAGAAGGAGCAGAAGAAACUUCGGAGGCAAACAAGGAGGGAGGCACUGGAAGAGCUACAAGAGAAAGUCAGGCUAGGCCUGAUACCUCCUCCAGAGCCCAAUGUGAGAAUCUCAGAUUUAAUGUGAGUAUUAGGAGCAGAAGCAGUUCAAGACCUCAGAUGGCAAAGAGACAGAACGUUCAUGAUUGAGGCCAGUGCUGGGCAGCUGUACCUGACAGGGGAUUCACAAGGAUGUCAAUGUGGUGGUAGUGGAAGGGAGCCCCAAAGCCCAGAAGAAAUUUAAGCAUCUGAUGCUCCAUCAGAUAAAGUGGGAUGAGCAGACAUCUAACACCAAGGGUGAUGAUGAUGAUGAGGAAUCUGAUGAAGAAGUUGUGAAGAAAACUAACAAAUGUGUGGGAGGGUACAGCCAAAGACUGGAGCUUUGGAGAGAUGGAGUCUAAACAGUGUCCUACAGAGAACAUGGCUCGUGAGCGUUUCAUAAAGCCUGGGGCUGAACACUACUGGGUCCUUGCACUGAGCGAAUCAGUGUUGGAGUCCACCAACUGA